rnacentral:rRNA from 1 species
GGGACUCUAACCAUAGGCCAUGAAUCUGGUCUUGGGACACUGUCAGGUGGGCAGUUUGACUGGGGCGGUCGCCUCCCAAAAGGUAACGGAGGCGCUCAAAGGUUCUCUCAGUACGGUCGGAAAUCGUACGUAGAGUGUAAAGGCAAAAGAGAGCUUGAUUGCAAGACAUACAGGUCGAGCAAGGAUGAAAAUCGGACUUAGUGAUCCGGUGGUUCUGCGUGGAAGGGCCAUCGCUCAACGGAUAAAAGCUACCCUGGGGAUAACAGGCUUAUCUCCCCCAAGAGUCCACAUCGACGGGGAGGUUUGGCACCUCGAUGUCGGCUCAUCACAUCCUGGGGCUGUAGUAGGUCCCAAGGGUUGGGCUGUUCGCCCAUUAAAGUGGUACGCGAGCUGGGUUCAGAACGUCGUGAGACAGUUCGGUCCCUAUCCGUCGCAGGCGUAGGAAAUUUGAGAAGACCUGUCCUUAGUACGAGAGGACCGGGAUGGACG